AGUUUUUUACCAGAUAAGCUUUUUAAAAAAUUAUGUUCAACAAUUAUCUUUUUAUUGUAGUUAAGUUUUUCAAAUUCUUGCUGUUUUCAAUAUCUCCUGGUUUCAUCAUCCCUACUGAGAAAUUACGUAUACAAUCUUAUAAUUAAUUGUUUGCUUUGGUCUUCUUUUAUUUUCCUGCUUUAUGAUAAAAUUUUCAUUAGCCUAAAUGUGUUAUUAAUUUUUCUUGUUUCUUAAAUAUUUGUUCAAUAUUAUAUUCACAACUUUAAGUUCAAAGGAUCAGUUUUCUGAACAGAUCUUCAUACACUAUAAAUUCCUUGUUGUAUGACCAUCUCUAAUAAUUUUAUUUUUAAUUUUUAGGUAAUGCCUGAUUAUAAUUUAAAUAAGGACGUUGACAAAAAUUAAUGAACCAUUUGCACAAAAAAUAUUUGAAUCAACAUUUAUUCACUCCUGGAAGAUAUUAAAUAUUUCAACAGAAUAUUCCAAUGGAUGGAACUUUUUCCAGCAUCUGGAUUAUUUUCCAGGUUAGACACAUGUUUGUCCACAGACUUGUCUUCUCUGAAUGAAAUCCAAAAGUUGUUUUUACUCCUAGAACCCUCAAAGCCUCUCUGUUUUUUGUCUAUCUAUUUUGCUCACUGUUGUUGAAUCUAUAUUCUUCAAAUGUGCCUUUACCAAGUCUCCAAAAUCACUGUGAGUAUAUGAUUCUCUGGGUAUGAGGUUGUGUAGUCAUGUCAAAUUAAAAUUUAAUAUUCCACAUACAGUCUGCACAGACAAAUAUAAGAAAUUUUGUAAUAACAUUUGUCUUGGUUAGUGUUGAUAGCUGAAUGCGAUUUCUUAUUCUACUGUGGAUCAAUAGAUCAAGAUUCCUUCAGAGAGGAAAGGCAAGUACCCAAAGGUUUUCUUCUAAUGACUGAAACACGUGGUCAGAAGACACACUAUUAACACUCGUCCUAAUAAUUUUUCAGCUAAAGAGUUGGGAAUGUAAGGAAAGGAAAUGGCUAGACUAUUCAAGAUUCUACUGGCAGAUUAUUUGUGAUGGUUGGUCUCUUUUUGCCUCCUAGAACAUUCAAGAGUACUUCAAGAUGCAAAGGAAAGAAGAGUUAAGAAAAGAAGGCCUUUCAUAACAUAUUGUUCCACAGGGGCUCUGAGCCCCACCAGGACAAAGUUUUCACAGUUGCUAGAGUUAACAAGACACGAAACCUACUAGGAAAAGACCUGACUUCUAUUUGCCAUGAUGGAAAACUCCCCACAGUAAUUCUGGAAUGUUUUAUGUUACUAUCUGCCUUAUGGACAAGAUCCUGCUUCUUAAAUGAACCCUAAUCUCUUCAAUUCCAUCAGCAUGAAGAGAAACAAUUGUGCAUCAAAUCAUUGGCUAUACAAUAAGGAUAUGCUGUCUCUCAACAAAGAAAAUGGAACCAAAACUGAGGGUAUAUUGGCAAUAUCACUAAACAUAGCAUCAUGUCAAACAAUAAAGAAGUUGGAUUGUGAAAAAGAUGUAAACAUAAAAACAAUCCAUCUGUGCAUAUGGUAGCAUGUAUCUUAAAGGAAUUACUUCAAAUUAUCAAAGGAAAUUUGCUGACAUCUAGACUAUAUGAAGAAUGACUUGGGGUACAUGACCAGGUCAAUGAAGAAGAGAAAGUAGCCACUGUGCAGAGUCCUUAUUUCAAAUACCUCCCACCAGGACCAAAUGUGUAUGGUCUUGUCUAUUGAUAAGACAGAAAACCUACUUGAAAAAGAGCUGACAACAAUUUGUGAUGAUCGAAAUCUGCCCACAGAAAUUCUGGAUAUGCUGUUCUUCAUCCAAGAAAAGGGGCCCCAAAUUCAGGAUAUAUCCAUAAUUUCACACAACAUAGCAUCAUGAAGAAGUUGGAUUGUGAAGAAGAUGUAAACAUAAAAAAAUAAUCCAUCUGUGUAUAUGGUAGCAUGUAUCUUAAAGGUAAGGAAAGUCCUUGCAUCAUACACCCUCAGGAUUCUUCUCAAUCUAUUUGAGUAGUUUCCUUCAUUAUGCAUUCCCUUGAGUGGUAGUAGAUAACAUAUAAGAGAAAUCUGAUAAAAAAGCAAAAACAAAAACAAAAAGCUGUCAUAAUGAGCAGUAAUGUAACUAAGUAUCUUUCAUUUGAUUCUUCCACAAGUAUAUGGAGAGUCACUUCAUACAUGCAUAUGAGUUUCACCUGAUAUGCAUGCCUCCUCAGAUGCAUUUGUCUAAGAGUGUUCUUAAGGGUGUCACUCUCCUUUUUUUCUGAGAGGCAGGUUUCUCUUCCUAGGUAUAGAGCACGUGACUCCUUCAUGUAUAUCUUUGCUGUACAUACCCAGUAGAAUCUCUUGGUCUGCUUGUCCCUCUCACUCACAAAAUAUUGGUAUCCAAAUGAAGGUUCACAUGGCUAUGUAACACGUAUUCUUAAGUACUGGGCCAUUCCUUCAGCACCAUAAUUUUAUUGUUAUAUUUAAAAAUUAAAAUCAUUUCACUCCUCCCUAUUCCUUGCUCUAAUGUUGUUUCCCUUCAAUCUCCCACUUCUGAUAAAAUACAUUUUCUUUAACUGUUAUUUUGUAGAUACAAAUAAAUCCAUAAAUAUGUUCAAAUAACCUGAUGAGUCCAUUAUCCUUGUUAGUAUCUGUACUAUUUCCAAAGGAACCAACUGUGAUUGGCUUACAAAUUAGGGGGUUCAUUUUUGAGAAAGACCAAUUUCCUCACUCUUCAUAGUAUUUAUUUGCAUGUAGUUCCUUAUCUAAAAGUUUGACUUCAUGAGAUUUCCUCAUUUUGAUUUAGUGUUACUAACUUGGAUAAUGUUUUGUUUAGAACUUGCUUAAACAACCAGACUGUGGGACUAACAAAAGUGAAGCUUCUCCUGCAUUUCUCUGAGGCCCAAUCCCAAAGCAGAUAUCCUGAUCCUCUGGAAUUACUUCAAAUCACUUAAGAAAGUCUGCUGACAUCUCGACUAUAUGAAGAAUGACUUGGAGUACCAGACCAAGUCAAUGAAGAAGAGAAAGUAGCCACUGUGCAGAGUCUUUUAGAAAACUACUGCACUCACAUGUUACUCUUCUAAGACAACGUUUCAAAUUAUUAUAUUAAGUUGAGAGGAAUUCUUCUGUGAACCAGAUGACAGCUUAUGAUUUAUCUGUUGUGCCAAGUAUCCUAUAUCUGCCUAGUUCCCACAAUAAACGAUUAGCAAAUGAUAUUGCCAAAAAGAUUUCUCUUAUAAACUUUCCAAUUGAAAACUCCCUGAAAUUAUUUGAAGAAGACUCAGUUUUAGUUUAUUAUGAGACCUCAUUAUUUCACCCUUAUGGAGUGGACUCUGAUUCCCAGAAUAAUCUUUCUAAUCCAGGGGGAUUUCAUUCUAAAUAUAUAAAGAAACUUGCUUUCUACAGAUUUAUGUAAUUUAUUUGGUGUCUCUGAUCAAGAAAUUUGAUCAAAAGAUUCUGCUAUCCAAAGAUAAUGAUACAGUAAAUUCUUCGGGAACCAUACAAAGAUAGAAGAAAUGCAUUUUUAAAGUUUUCUACCACAGAUGCCACAACAAAACUUCAUCCUACUAAAACACCUUAUUCAUGUGUUAUUAAAGAUUAAAAUUUCUCCCAUGAAGACUUAGACUCUUAACAGUUUAUCUGUUCACAUAACCCCUAUAUUCCAUGGCAUUCUACUUCCAGCAACUCGUUAUUUGGGAAUGACCUUUCCAAAAAGAUUUCUAUUGAAGAAAUUCUAACUGAAAACUAGCUCUAGAUAUUUGGAGAUGACGAUCAUACAUUUUAUAAAGAUAUUCCAAAAAGGUCUGAUGACAUAAAAAUGUCUUCAGGUUCACUAAAUACUGUUGAUAGAGCAUGUGCUAUGAAAGAUGCCAUAAGUGACCCCCCUGAGAAAACCUUCUUUAAUGCUAAUGCUGAAAAAUUAAAGAUUCCAUUUGCUGCCCCUCAGAAGGAAGGUCCUACAGAGAGCAGGGCACAACAAACAGCUUCUAUAUGUUCCGUGUUUAACAGUGGAAUCAAUGGCAGAGGAUGACUGAAGAUGCUUACAGCUCAUUCUACUUCAAAGUUCCUUUCCACCUCCCAUUCAACAAUAGAAGAAUAUAUCAUUACAAGACACUGCAGCUUUUAUAUUUUACAUUAUUGUUACAAAGAGUUGUCACUGAUCAUUUUGACUUUAUGCUAUAUAUUACACAUUCUUUAUUAUUAUAAUGAAUGUUAUUAAACUAUAAUAUUGAUUAAACUCC
rnacentral:sRNA from 1 species